GGAUGUGAGGGCGAUCUGGCUGUGACAUCUGUCACCCCAUUGAUCGCCAGAGUUGAUUCGGCUGAUCUGGCUGGCUAGGCGGGUGUCCCCUUCCUCCCUCACCGUUCCAUGUGCGUCCCUCCCGAAGCUGCGUGCUCGGUCGAAGAGGACGACCAUCCCCGAUAGAGGAGGACCGGUCUUUGGUCAAGGGUAUACGAGUAGCUGCGCUCCCCUGCUAGAACCUCCAAACAAGCUCUCAAGAUAGAAGGAUUCUAAAGAUGUGUAUUCUGGUAGGUUGUGUCAAUAAAGCUGAUUGGAUC
rnacentral:snRNA from 10 species